GUGCCAGCCGCCGCGGUAAAACGUAGGUGGCAAGCGUUAUCCGGAUUUACUGGGCGUAAAGCGUGUGCAGACGGGGCUUCAAGUGGUGUAUGAAAUCGCUCGGCUCAACCGGGCGCGGGUAUGCCAGACUGGAGUGCUAGAGGGUGCGAGAGGGACGUGGAAUUCCGGGUGUAGUGGUGAAAUGCGUAGAGAUCCGGAGGAACCCCUGAGGCGAAGGCGGCGUCCUGGCGCACUUCUGACGUUCAGACACGACAGCAUGGGGAGCGAACGGGAUUAGAAACCCCCGUAGUCC
rnacentral:rRNA from 1 species